GUAACACGUGGGCAAUCUGCCGCGAAGUCUGGGAUAACUCGCUGAAAGGCGAGCUAAUACCGGAUGUGAAUGUAAAUUCAAAGUUGGGGACCGCAAGGCCUGACGCUUUACGAUGAGCCCGCGGCCUAUCAGCUAGUUGGUGAGGUAACGGCUCACCAAGGCUAAGACGGGUAGCUGGUCUGAGAGGACGACCAGCCACACUGGAACUGAGACACGGUCCAGACACCAUACGGGUGGCAGCAGUCGAGAAUUUUUCUCAAUGGGCGAAAGCCUGAAGGAGCGACGCCGCGUGGGGGAUGAAUGGCUUCGGCCCGUAAACCCCUGUCAUUUGCGAACAAAUUAUUUUACCUAACACGUAAAGUAUUGAUUGUAGCGGAAGAGGAAGGGACGGCUAACUCUGUGCCAGCAGCCGCGGUAAUACAGAGGUCCCAAGCGUUGUUCGGAUUCACUGGGCGUAAAGGGUGCGUA
rnacentral:rRNA from 1 species